rnacentral:tRNA from 1 species
CAUGGUGUGACUCAGUGGUAGAGCACUUGCCUAACAUGUAUAACAAUCUGGGUUCAAUCCUCAGCACCACAC